AGAACGAACGCUGGCGGCGUGGAUAAGACAUGCAAGUCGAACGCGACUUAUUUUGUUAGCAAUAACAGAGUAAGUUGAGUGGCGAAAGGGUGCGUAACACGUGGGAAUUUACCAAGAAGUGGGGAAUAGCUCGACGAAAGUCGAAUUAAUACCGCAUGUGAUCGAAAGAUCAAAGUCGGGGACCGCAAGGCCUGACGCUUUUUGAGAAGCCCGCGGCCCAUCAGCUAGUUGGUGAGGUAAUGGCUCACCAAGGCUAUGACGGGUAGCUGGUCUGAGAGGACGACCAGCCACACUGGAACUGAGACACGGUCCAGACACCUACGGGUGGCAGCAGUCGAGAAUUUUUCACAAUGGACGAAAGUCUGAUGGAGCGACGCCGCGUGGAGGAUGAAGGUUCUUGGAUUGUAAACUCCUGUCACUGCAGAACAAGGGUGCGCUCGUAAUAGCAAGCGCAUUUGAUGGUAUGCGGAGAGGAAGGGACGGCU
rnacentral:rRNA from 1 species